rnacentral:rRNA from 1 species
CGAACGCUGGCGGCAGGCCUAACACAUGCAAGUCGAACGAACCUUUCGGGGUUAGUGGCGGACGGGUGAGUAACACGUGGGAACGUGCCUUUAGGUUCGGAAUAACUCAGAGACACUUGUGCUAAUACCGAAUGUGCCCUUCGGGGGAAAGAUUAAUCGCCUUUAGAGCGGCCCGCGUCUGAUUAGCUAGUUGGUUGAGGUAAUGGCUCACCAAGGCGACGAUCAGUAGCUGGUCUGAGAGGAUGAUCAGCCACAUUGGGACUGAGACACGGCCCAAACUCCUACGGGAGGCAGCAGUGGGGAAUCUUGCGCAAUGGGCGAAAGCCUGACGCAGCCAUGCCGCGUGAAUGAUGAAGGUCUUAGGAUUGUAAAAUUCUUUCACCGGGGACGAUAAUGACGGUACCCGGAGAAGAAGCCCCGGCUAACUUCGUG